CUUAGAAACUAGGAAUUCAACACAAUCACACUCCUAGAAGAAUGUUACAGUCAAUGAAGAGAAGGCUGGGCUGAGCAGGACUUUCCCUUUCCCCUGUUGAGGAUUUGCAAAGGAGUUCAGGAUCCACCAGAAAGGGAUGGAAAGCCCAUAAAGGGGAGCUUGGCCCUGCAUAAUCACUAGGCUUUGUGGGUAGGAAUGAAACGAUGGGACAGACUGUGCAUUUUAUAUUAAACAGUCACUGGAUUUAAGAGCAGCAACAGGAAAAGUACCGACGCUCCCACAUCAGUACUUAACCAUAACAGAGUCAAGCUCCAUCCUGCUACAGGAAUUUAGCAAUUGCUUUAGGCUACUUCCUUCCCCUCCCUGUGGUGCUCACAUUAAGACAGCUGACAGGGGCUUUGCUGACAGGAAGGUUUGGGUUCUCUCACAUUGGAGGAUGCUUCAUGUGUAUCUACCACUGCAAAUAUCUCCUCAGACAGAGCUAGGCCAUACCAGGAGUUUUGCCUCAUUUAUUCAAGCCCAUCUUCAUGGGCACUUACCCUCAGGAGAGAAUGUGGACUCUUGAUGCCAAUAGCAGAGAGAGACGCAUACCUGCAGCCCUGAACAAAGCACCUAAGCUCCACAGUAGGGUUUGAUGGACAGUGCCUCACUUUAUAUUUUCUACCUGCAUCUUGCUUAUUCGGUAUGUUGGGGGAAGGCAAAAGAACAAGCUGAGGGCUGUGGGUCUCUGGACCUUCCCAUGCACUGCCUAAAAAAAUGCUAUUUCAUUGUCCCUUCUGCAUAUCAGGUCCUACUCUGGAAUCAAGUCCAUAACGUUAGAGCCAUGCAGGGUAUUUCUCUAAGUGAUUACACCAUCUGCAGUGGAAAACUCAUCUCGGCAAGACAUAUAAAAGGGUAUACCUACAAAUAGACAGUGAAGAGCACAACUGACUUACUUUUCAAGCAUUUAUCAGCAUUCCAAAAAUGAAGAGAACAAACUUUUCUGUGUGUCAUAUCCUGCUAGAUUAAUCUGUGCUUCUGGAAGAAGAAACCCUGAAAAACAUGACUGUAAGUUGUAUUAACUACGUAAUAUAAAGCAAAUGUUUACAUAGUAAAUGUCUCAAGUAUUUUGCUCCCUGCAAAUAUUAGGAUUACAGAAAGCACUUGAUGUGAUGGUGCAGAGAGGAAAUUCUAUUUUGGUUGACAGUGUUAUUCAGAGCUAUAGAAGGAUAAACCAUUGGACAAGGUAAACUGUAGAGCUAAUCUGGAGGGAUGCAAUUUUUAGAAGGAUGGGAAACAGAGGAUAGAGGAGGUGUAGUGGCUCAAUACAGUUUUCUAUAGUACAGUUAGAAUAACAAAGGAAAUGACAGCAAUGCUACAUUUUAAGUAAACCUAAGAAAGGUAGAAAUCCAAAAAGGAAUAAAAGUAGGUGUCUGCAACA
rnacentral:lncRNA from 1 species